GACGAACGCUGGCGGCGUGCCUAAUACAUGCAAGUCGAACGCAGUGGGGACGGGUGAUUAACACGUGGGUAACCUCCCAUCAGAGGGGAUAACACUUGGAAACAGGUGCUAAACCGAUACUGAUGGAUGGACCCGCGGUGCAUUAGCUAGUUGGUGAGGUAACGGCUCACCAAGGCCACGAUGCAUAGCGGGCCUGAGAGGGUGACCGGCCACACUGGAACUGAGACACGGCCCAGACUCCUACGGGAGGCAGCAGUGGGGAAUAUUCGGCAAUGGGCGAAAGCCUGACCGAGCAAUGCCGCGUGAGUGAAGAAGGUUUUCGGAUCGUAAAGCUCUGUCGUUAGGGAAGCGGUAGCUAAACAGAAAGCAACGGCUAACUACGUGCCAGCAGCCGCGGUAAUAC
rnacentral:rRNA from 1 species